GCCGACAAAAUGUUCUGUUCGUCUUAAGUUUCUUUGGCUGUAGGGAACUGGCGGUGUCGUGUAGUAUUAGAUGCUUGCUUUCCUCUGUUCUUUCUCCAAAGUCGGAGAAAAUGAAAUCUAAAAAGUUUGAGAUUGUUAACUUAAAUGUGUGAUCAAUUUGGAUAAAAAUUUGUGCUAAGUUCAUUGUGAUGUUCAGUGGCCUACACAGAUCUCUCCUCCUAAUAUAAAAUCGUGAAAAUAUGCACUAGCUUCCUUCUAUUCAAGUCUAGAGCUAGGUGAAGCGAUGUCAUAUUCCGCUACUUUCUCAUAAUGAUUUCUCAUUCUUUGAAUGCUCAAGUCGCUUCAAAUAUACAUUGUUGUUAGCAUAUUAUUUCUCAACUGUGUGGGCUGCUUAUAUGUUAGUGUUUUGGAAUGUUUUUUGUGACUCACUGUUAGCUGCAAAUUAGUGCAAAUCAGUAAUGAGUUUGUAUGUUAGUCUAUGUUGAUGUUUGUGUUAAUUUCCUUUGAAGGUUUGAUGUUUCUCCUUGGUCCCAAGCUUAAUUUUCUCUGUUUAAAUCUAAUGUGAAAGUAACAUUUUAGUCGUGAAGUUUGAAAUCAUAUUCUGUGGGUGAUUUUGACUUCCAUUGGCUUAUAUUACACUAUUUUUUCACAUUAAGAACAAAUAAAAUUAGUUAGUUCGAGUUGUCGUUAUGUCCUAUGUACGGUUUUCCUUCUACCUCCAGUUUCUCUUUUAGCUUGGUUGUCAUGUUGUUGCUCUUGUUUGUUUUUUCUUCUGAUCGUUAUGAAUCUAAUGUGGGGUUAGUCUUAUAUGUCGUUCUUAUUAUUCUUUCACCAUAGGCUGAAAAAAUGAGGCAAAAUAUCAAUAUUUCGAAUUUCAUUUAGCGAUUUAUACUUACUAUCUUAAAUCUGCAACUAUUGUUUCAAUCAUUUUGACGUCUCUUUUUCCACCUUUCCUUUGUUUUACAGUGGAUUUUGCCAUUUGGGAAGCCUAUGGUCAUAUUUGUGUUUGAUUGGUUGCUAGCUGCUGUUUAGAAUAUAAUCUAUUGACAUGAUGCAAUAUUUUAUUCUCCUUCACCUGAUAGUUCUCUGUUAACAAUUCACUUUGUCUUGAAUUUCUUGCAUUUGGCUUCAUUUCAAAGAGUGAUAAAUGAUGGCAUGUUUAAAUUAUUUGAUUCACUGAUUUUGUUUCUAUUUUGUUCUCUAUUUUUCCUUGUUUUAGGUUCAUUCACAGAUUGUUCAAUCAAAUCUCUUCUCAACUUUCCCUAUCUAAAAUUUUGGUAGUGUUUCUAUGGUUUGUUUGAAGUUCAGUUUUCUCUCGUUUUCUCCCUGUUAUCAUCCCUUUUAUUGUUUCUCCUCUUCUUUAUAUCUAAUGUUAAGCUGAUUGUAGUCUUAGUAGUUGUGCGUUGAGCAUCUAAUCUAGUUUUGUCAAAUUGAAGCAUGAUCGUCCUGUCAUUAAUUGAUUUACUGAUAUGGUUCUGUGUUUCAACUGUCUUCAGAUUCUUCUUGAAAUUUUGUAACUAUGUACCCUACGUUCAACUUGUAUAGUAUUUUUUUUUGUCAAAAAUGGAUUUGUCUCACAACUUGAGUCAUCUUCUGUCCCCUUUUCAUAUCCCAGCUUUGGUUCUUUGGUUUUACCCAGCAUUCCACCAUUGUUUCCUGCAUGCUCUUUGUGUUAAGUAUAUGAAUCAAGGUAUAUAGUUAUUUACACAUUUUUCUUUUGCAUCUGUGUUACAUGAUAUUAUGAGUUUGUUAUUUGAAUGAAUU
rnacentral:misc_RNA from 1 species